rnacentral:rRNA from 1 species
AACGAACGCUGGCGGCAUGCCUAACACAUGCAAGUCGAACGAGACCUUCGGGUCUAGUGGCGCACGGGUGCGUAACGCGUGGGAACCUGCCCUUAGGUUCGGAAUACCUCCCCGAAAGGGGUGCUAAUACCGGAUAAUGUCUUCGGACCAAAGAUUUAUCGCCUUUGGAUGGGCCCGCGUUGGAUUAGCUAGUUGGUAGGGUAAAAGCCUACCAAGGCGACGAUCCAUAGCUGGUCUGAGAGGAUGAUCAGCCACACUGGGACUGAGACACGGCCCAGACUCCUACGGGAAGAAGCAGUGGGGAAUAUUGGACAAUGGGAGAAAGCCUGAGCCAGCAAUGCCGCGUGAGUGAUGAAGGCCUUAGGGUUGUAAAGCUCUUUUACCAGGGAUGAUAAUGACAGUACAGGGAGAAUAAGCUCCGGCUAACUCCGUG